UACAGAGGUCCCAAGCGUUGCUCGGAUUCAUUGGGCGUAAAGGGUGUGUAGGUGGCGCCGUAAGUCGGGUGUGAAAUUUCGGAGCUUAACUCCGAAACUGCAUUCGAUACUGCGGUGCUUGAGGACUGGAGAGGAGACUGGAAUUCAUGGUGUAGCAGUGAAAUGCGUAGAGAUCAUGAGGAAGACCAGUGGCGAAGGCGGGUCUCUGGACAGUUCCUGACACUGAGACACGAAGGCCAGGGGAGCAAACGGG
rnacentral:rRNA from 1 species